AUGCUUGUCUUUGUCUUUCAGAUGCUGUGCCGGUGUUCAAGAUACUGUGGUGGAGAUUUGGCUUGGGCAUUACUUGGGAGAACUUCAGCACAUGAUCCUGUAGCUGCCUUGCAUAAGCAUGCUCUGGGAUGUCACAACUGCUAUCAUCUGUGGAGGAUCUGUGGAAGCAUUUCUGGGUGCGAUCAGCAGUAAUACUGUGGUAAUCUGCUGCAUGAUUGCUUUCAAAUGCCUCAUGAAAGACAAAACUGUACUUACAAUCUCAAAUAAGAGGAUAAAUUUAUUAUAAUUUCAGUACAAUAAUAAACAGAAACUAACACUUGAAGAGGUUUUAGUG
rnacentral:lncRNA from 1 species